UUAAACUUACUCCUUCAUAGAAAUGCGCGUUUAAUUUGCUACACUAGAGUUGAAUAGAUCAGUGAUUAAUUCAGAGAAAGAUUAUGUUUGUGCAGCGAUAACUAAAAUUAAAUCUUUUAGGUGUACAUAUAAAAGAACAUUGGUUUUGAGAGCACAGCAAACUGAGUGUUAAUAGAUAACAAUGCAUAAACUAAUGCUAUUCUCCGUAGUCUGUUUCUGUCUUGCUACGAUGUGUCACGCCAUGACAGACAAUGCAGAUACAAGAAGCGACGAAGUUUUGAGUCGUGAAAAAAGAUCGCGGUUUCGCUAUACAUUAAGAUGUAGAAACUGCUGUAGACAAUAUGGACAACUUUGUGGGAUAUGUCCAUGCAGGGCCAGCAAUCGUUUUCCCUUCGAAUACUCGCCACUAUUUCAAUCUUGAUGGAUCCGUUGUUUCGAGAAUAUGUCUUGCAUGACUCUUUGUUUAUAUAUUAAAAGUUUCAAUCCAUUGUUAGUCAAACUAAUUAAAAAGCUAUAUUGUUAUA